rnacentral:tRNA from 3 species
GCCCCGGUGGCCUAGCCCGGUAAGGCAGCAGCCUCGUAAGCUGCGGAACGCGGGUUCAAAUCCCGCCCGGGGCU